GUCGAACGGCAGCAUGAUCUAGCUUGCUAGAUUGAUGGCGAGUGGCGAACGGGUGAGUAAUACAUCGGAACGUGCCCUGUAGUGGGGGAUAACUAGUCGAAAGAUUAGCUAAUACCGCAUACGACCUGAGGGUGAAAGUGGGGGACCGCAAGGCCUCAUGCUAUAGGAGCGGCCGAUGUCUGAUUAGCUAGUUGGUGAGGUAAAGGCUCACCAAGGCGACGAUCAGUAGCUGGUCUGAGAGGACGAUCAGCCACACUGGGACUGAGACACGGCCCAGACUCCUACGGGAGGCAGCAGUGGGGAAUUUUGGACAAUGGGCGAAAGCCUGAUCCAGCAAUGCCGCGUGUGUGAAGAAGGCCUUCGGGUUGUAAAGCACUUUUGUCCGGAAAGAAAUGGCUCUGGUUAAUACCUGGGGUCGAUGACGGUACCGGAAGAAUAAGGACCGGCUAACUACGUGCCAGCAGCCGCGGUAAUACGUAGGGUCCAAGCGUUAAUCGGAAUUACUGGGCGUAAAGCGUGCGCAGGCGGUUGUGCAAGACCGAUGUGAAAUCCCCGAGCUUAACUUGGGAAUUGCAUUGGUGACUGCACGGCUAGAGUGUGUCAGAGGGGGGUAGAAUUCCACGUGUAGCAGUGAAAUGCGUAGAGAUGUGGAGGAAUACCGAUGGCGAAGGCAGCCCCCUGGGAUAACACUGACGCUCAUGCACGAAAGCGUGGGGAGCAAACAGGAUUAGAUACCCUGGUAGUCCACGCCCUAAACGAUGUCAACUAGUUGUUGGGGAUUCAUUUCCUUAGUAACGUAGCUAACGCGUGAAGUUGACCGCCUGGGGAGUACGGUCGCAAGAUUAAAACUCAAAGGAAUUGACGGGGACCCGCACAAGCGGUGGAUGAUGUGGAUUAAUUCGAUGCAACGCGAAAAACCUUACCUACCCUUGACAUGCCACUAACGAAGCAGAGAUGCAUUAGGUGCUCGAAAGAGAAAGUGGACACAGGUGCUGCAUGGCUGUCGUCAGCU
rnacentral:rRNA from 1 species